GGGGCAGUAGCUCAGUUGGUUAGAGCAGGGGACUCAUAAUCCCCGGGUCGUGGGUUCAAUUCCUACCUGCCCCA
rnacentral:tRNA from 1 species